UACGUAGGGCGCGAGCGUUGUCCGGAAUUAUUGGGCGUAAAGAGCUCGUAGGCGGCUUGUCACGUCGGAUGUGAAAGCCCGAGGCUUAACCUCGGGUCUGCAUUCGAUACGGGCUAGCUAGAGUGUGGUAGGGGAGAUCGGAAUUCCUGGUGUAGCGGUGAAAUGCGCAGAUAUCAGGAGGAACACCGGUGGCGAAGGCGGCAUUCUGGACCGAUAUUGACGCUGAGGAGCGAAAGCCAGGGGAGCAAACGGG
rnacentral:rRNA from 1 species